UUUCCGUAGGUGAACCUGCGGAAGGAUCAUUACAGAGUUCAUGCCCUCACGGGUAGAUCUCCCACCCUUGAAUAUUUAUACCUUAGUUGCUUUGGCAGGCCGUGGAAACACCAUGGGCUCCGGCUUAUGCGUGCCUGCCAGAGGAAACAAACUCUGUUUUUAGUGACGUCUGAGUACUAUAUAAUAGUUAAAACUUUCAACAACGGAUCUCUUGGUUCUG
rnacentral:misc_RNA from 1 species